CAAUAAGCGGAGGAAAAGAAACCAACAGGGAUUGCCCUAGUAACGGCGAGUGAAGCGGCAACAGCUCAAAUUUGAAAUCUGGCCUUCUGGUCCGAAUUGUAAUUUGUAGAGGAUGCAUUUGGUUAGGUACCUUCCGAGUUCCUUGGAACAGGACGCCUUAGAGGGUGAGAGCCCCGUACGGUUGGAUGCCGAGCCUCUGUAAUGCUCCUUCGACGAGUCGAGUAGUUUGGGAAUGCUGCUCUAAAUGGGAGGUAAAUUUCUUCUAAAGCUAAAUACCGGCCAGAGACCGAUAGCGCACAAGUAGAGUGAUCGAAAGAUGAAAAGCACUUUGAAAAGAGGGUUAAAUAGUACGUGAAAUUGUUGAAAGGGAAGGGCUUAUGACCAGACCUUUGCCUUGCGAAUCAUCCGGUGUUCUCACCGGUGCACUUCGCUUGGUUGAGGCCAGCAUCAGUUUCGGAAGAGGGAUAAAGACUUAAGGAAUGUGGUUCCUCCGGGAAUGUUAUAGCCUUCUGUGUAAUACCUUUACCGGGACUGAGGACCGCGCUUCGGCUAGGAUGCUGGCAUAAUGGUCAUCAGCCACCCGUCUUGAAACACGGACCAAGGAGUCGAACAUUUAUGCGAGUGUUUGGGUGUUAAACCCUCACGCGUAAUGAAAGUGAACGGAGGUGAGAGCCCUUACGGGUGCAUCAUCGACCGAUCCUGAUGUCUUCGGAUGGAUUUGAGUAAGAGCAUAACUGUUCGGACCCGAAAGAUGGUGAACUAUGCGUGGAUAGGGUGAAGCCAGAGGAAACUCUGGUGGAGGCUCGCAGCGGUUCUGACGUGCAAAUCGAUCGUCAAAUCUGCGCAUGGGGGCGAAAGACUAAUCGAACCAUCUAGUAGCUGG
rnacentral:rRNA from 1 species